AUUGAACGCUGGCGGCAGGCUUAACACAUGCAAGUCGAGCGGGGUGAUGGUGCUUGCACUAUCACUUAGCGGCGGACGGGUGAGUAAUGCUUAGGAAUCUGCCUAUUAGUGGGGGACAACAUCCCGAAAGGGAUGCUAAUACCGCAUACGUCCUACGGGAGAAAGCAGGGGAUCACUUGUGACCUUGCGCUAAUAGAUGAGCCUAAGUCGGAUUAGCUAGUUGGUGGGGUAAAGGCCUACCAAGGCGACGAUCUGUAGCGGGUCUGAGAGGAUGAUCCGCGACACUGGGACUGAGACACGGCCCAGACUCCUACGGGAGGCAGCAGUGGGGAGUAUUGGACAACGGGGGGAACCCUGAUCCAGCCAUGCCGCGUGUGUGAAGAAGGCCUUAUGGUUGUAAAGCACUUUAAGCGAGGAGGAGGCUCUUUUGGUUAAUACCCAAGAUGAGUGGACGUUACUCGCAGAAUAAGCACCGGCUAACUCUGUGCCAGCAGCCGCCGUAA
rnacentral:rRNA from 1 species